rnacentral:sRNA from 1 species
AAAAAAGGUACGCAACCUCAGUACACCGAUUCCUGCGGCGACGGUUGCAUACCUGCAUCCUACAGU